rnacentral:rRNA from 1 species
AACGAACGCUGGCGGCAUGCCUAAUACAUGCAAGUCGAACGAACACUUCGGUGUUAGUGGCGCACGGGUGCGUAACGCGUGGGAAUCUACCCUUGGGUUCGGAAUAACAGUUGGAAACGACUGCUAAUACCGGAUAAGCCCUUCGGGGGAAAGAUUUAUCGCCAUUGGAGCGGCCCGCGUAGGAUUGGCUUGUUGGUGGG